UCGUAACAAGGUCUCCGUUGGUGAACCAGCGGAGGGAUCAUUACCGAGUUUACAACUCCCAAACCCCAAUGUGAACGUUACCAAUCUGUUGCCUCGGCGGGAUUCUCUGCCCCGGGCGCGUCGCAGCCCCGGAUCCCAUGGCGCCCGCCGGAGGACCAACUCAAACUCUUUUUUCUCUCCGUCGCGGCUUCCGUCGCGGCUCUGUUUUACCUUUGCUCUGAGCCUUUCUCGGCGACCCUAGCGGGCGUCUCGAAAAUGAAUCAAAACUUUCAACAACGGAUCUCUUGGUUCUGGCAUCGAUGAAGAACGCAGCGAAAUGCGAUAAGUAAUGUGAAUUGCAGAAUUCAGUGAAUCAUCGAAUCUUUGAACGCACAUUGCGCCCGCCAGUAUUCUGGCGGGCAUGCCUGUCCGAGCGUCAUUUCAACCCUCGAACCCCUCCGGGGGGUCGGCGUUGGGGAUCGGCCCCUCACCGGGCCGCCCCCGAAAUACAGUGGCGGUCUCGCCGCAGCCUCUCCUGCGCAGUAGUUUGCACACUCGCACCGGGAGCGCGGCGCGGCCACAGCCGUAAAACACCCCAAACUCUGAAAUGUUGACCUCGGAUCAGGUAGGAAUACCCGCUGAACUUAAGCAUAUCA
rnacentral:rRNA from 1 species